rnacentral:rRNA from 1 species
UACGGAGGGAGGCAAGCGUUAUCCGGAAUUAUUUGGGCGUAAAGAGCGUGUAGGCGGCCAGAUAGGUCUGCUGUGAAAACUCGAGGCUCAACCUCGAGCUGUCGGCGGAAACCAUCCGGCUAGAGUCCGGAAGAGGAGAGUGGAAUUCCCGGUGUAGCGGUGAAAUGCGCAGAUAUCGGGAAGAACACCUGUGGCGAAGGCGGCUCGCUGGGACGUUACUGACGCUGAGACGCGAAAGCGUGGGGAGCAAACAGG